UACGUAGGGGGCGAGCGUUGUCCGGAAUCAUUGGGCGUAAAGCGCGUGUAGGCGGCCCGGUAAGUCCGCUGUGAAAGUCCAGGGCUCAACCCUGGGAUGCCGGUGGAUACUGUCGGGCUCGAGUCCGGAAGAAGCGAGUGGAAUUCCUGGUGUAGCGGUGAAAUGCGCAGAUAUCAGGAGGAACACCAGUGGCGAAGGCGAGUCCCUGGACGAUACCUGACACUGAGGCACGAAAGCCAAGGGAGCAAACAGG
rnacentral:rRNA from 1 species